GACGAACGCUGGCGGCGUGCCUAAUACAUGCAAGUCGAACGAACUCUGGUAUUGAUUGGUGCUUGCAUCAUGAUUUACAUUUGAGUGAGUGGCGAACUGGUGAGUAACACGUGGGAAACCUGCCCAGAAGCGGGGGAUAACACCUGGAAACAGAUGCUAAUACCGCAUAACAACUUGGACCGCAUGGUCCGAGUUUGAAAGAUGGCUUCGGCUAUCACUUUUGGAUGGUCCCGCGGCGUAUUAGCUAGAUGGUGGGGUAACGGCUCACCAUGGCAAUGAUACGUAGCCGACCUGAGAGGGUAAUCGGCCACAUUGGGACUGAGACACGGCCCAAACUCCUACGGGAGGCAGCAGUAGGGAAUCUUCCACAAUGGACGAAAGUCUGAUGGAGCAACGCCGCGUGAGUGAAGAAGGGUUUCGGCUCGUAAAACUCUGUUGUUAAAGAAGAACAUAUCUGAGAGUAACUGUUCAGGUAUUGACGGUAUUUAACCAGAAAGCCACGGCUAACUACGUGCCAGCAGCCGCGGUAAUACGUAGGUGGCAAGCGUUGUCCGGAUUUAUUGGGCGUAAAGCGAGCGCAGGCGGUUUUUUAAGUCUGAUGUGAAAGCCUUCGGCUCAACCGAAGAAGUGCAUCGGAAACUGGGAAACUUGAGUGCAGAAGAGGACAGUGGAACUCCAUGUGUAGCGGUGAAAUGCGUAGAUAUAUGGAAGAACACCAGUGGCGAAGGCGGCUGUCUGGUCUGUAACUGACGCUGAGGCUCGAAAGUAUGGGUAGCAAACAGGAUUAGAUACCCUGGUAGUCCAUACCGUAAACGAUGAAUGCUAAGUGUUGGAGGGUUUCCGCCCUUCAGUGCUGCAGCUAACGCAUUAAGCAUUCCGCCUGGGGAGUACGGCCGCAAGGCUGAAACUCAAAGGAAUUGACGGGGGCCCGCACAAGCGGUGGAGCAUGUGGUUUAAUUCGAAGCUACGCGAAGAACCUUACCAGGUCUUGACAUACUAUGCAAAUCUAAGAGAUUAGACGUUCCCUUCGGGGACAUGGAUACAGGUGGUGCAUGGUUGUCGUCAGCUCGUGUCGUGAGAUGUUGGGUUAAGUCCCGCAACGAGCGCAACCCUUAUUAUCAGUUGCCAGCAUUAAGUUGGGCACUCUGGUGAGACUGCCGGUGACAAACCGGAGGAAGGUGGGGAUGACGUCAAAUCAUCAUGCCCCUUAUGACCUGGGCUACACACGUGCUACAAUGGAUGGUACAACGAGUUGCGAACUCGCGAGAGUAAGCUAAUCUCUUAAAGCCAUUCUCAGUUCGGAUUGUAGGCUGCAACUCGCCUACAUGAAGUCGGAAUCGCUAGUAAUCGCGGAUCAGCAUGCCGCGGUGAAUACGUCCCCGGGCCUUGUACACACCGCCCGUCACACCAUGAGAGUUUGUAACACCCAAAGUCGGUGGGGUAACCUUUUAGGAACCAGCCGCCUAAGGUGGGACAGAUGAUUAGGGUG
rnacentral:rRNA from 2 species